rnacentral:lncRNA from 1 species
CUGGUAGCGACACAUCAUCAAAUAUGCAAACCCAACAUAAUAGGCUAGGAAGAAACAGAAAAGAUGGCUUAUUGCUGUUUAUUGGUGUUUGGGGACUGCAGAGAAGACUCAUUGGCCGGAGUUGAAUCCACAGCAAAGGGUUGGCAUCAUCUGGAGGUGACUUCACUCACAUGUCUGCAGAGGACAUGGGGCUUGGCUUCAGGACCUAUAGGAGACCUCCCAGUUACCCUGGGAUUCCAGGUAGCAGAGCACUCUCAGGACAUUCAGAGCUUUGACUUGGUGAUCAAGGGCACCAUAGGUGAGUGACCUGAGUGAACCAGGCAGAUGCUCAUGGCCUUUUUAAACAUAACUUUGGAAGUUACACAGCAUCACUUUCAUGUCAUGUGUCAGUGACAAGUGAGCACUAGUGUCCAGUCUGGUAAGGGUGGGCAUAGACCCCCAUAUCUCAAAGGGAGAAUAGCAAAAAAAUUGCAAACAUCUUUAAAAAGCCACAUGGAUAUUCUAGUUUAAAACUACUCAGGUUUUUUUCUCUCCUGGGCUUCUCACCACAGCUCUGGGGUGAUCUUAGGGCUUAUGUUUCCUCCCCAACUUGGAGGCAGCAGAAAAAGGGACUUUGGUAGUGGUUGUGGCCAAGGGUCUUUUACUUAUGUCCUGUUAGAUCCACCCAAGAGUGAUGCAGGUCAGCAAUCGCCCAGUCUCACUUAUAAGUGGGAGCUAAAUAAUGAGAACCCAUGGACACAAAGGGGAACAGCAGACACUGGGCCUACAUGAGGGUGGAGUAGGAGGAGGGAGAGGACCAGAAAAAAUAAUUAUUGGGUACUAGGCCUAGUACCUGGGUGAUGAAAUAAUCUGUACAACAAACCCCUGUGAUACGAGUUUACCUACAUAACAAACCUG